GUAUUAUGCAUGCAAUAACCUGUUUACUGAGCAGUUGUUGAUCCCACGUAUGUCCCUCUGUGCUGUGGCUGAAGAGGACUUGUUGGGCUCGUGGCUCCCAGGGAAGCUGGGGAGGAGGGAGGUUUGGCCGCCGCACCGCAGCGUGCUUUACUGCUGCCCGUGUGUGGCUGCUCACGGGCUGAGAAUUUCAGUUUCUGCCCAUGGAAACCCCUUCAGAAAUGCAAAGUUUAGAUGAAAAAAAUAAAAGGCACCCCUAAUUUUGUGUAUGAGAGAGGAUCGUUACCGUCGAGAGAUGCCGACAGCGCUGGAGGACACCCCAGUGCGCGUGUCUGAUUUUUCUCAGCUGGGCAUCUCCAGGAGGGCAGAGAAGCAGGCGUGUGCUCUCAUGCUGUAAGGAGGUUAUUGAUAAAAACCUGUGACAGGGAUGCAGAGAGCACAGGGAUAAGAAGGGAAUUGGUGUAAAACAGCAGCGUUUCCAUAGCAUUGUGGUAUCUGUGUGCAUUAUGGAGGCACUCCAAAGCGGUCACUGCCCAUCGGAGGACCAGCGGUGUCACACCGGCACCUUCAUCCCAAAUUCCCACGGUGUGUGCAAUACGAGCAACCACAAGCUCCUUCCCCAGCAAACAGCUUGAGUGGAUGCACAGGUAUAAAUAAAUCGUGAUUAUGGUGCUUUGUAACCCAAUUGACUGUUUUGCCUCAGUUGUUAAA